UUUCUCUCUUCCUUGAAAUAUGCUCUCUUACCUCAUUCAAUCAGAACAAGAGAUAUGAAAAUUGUGAAAAAAAAGAAACAAACAAAAAAAAUCACCUUCAUUUUCAAGCCUCUAAUCCUCACUCAAAACUACAAGUCUCCAACAUCAAACCCAACCUAAAUCCGAAUCUAAAAUCUAUUUUCUCAAAGGCACAACCAUGAGUCCGGAUCGGAAACCAUGUGUUUGAAAAUAAAAACUUAAGUUCAUAGAAAAACAACAAAACAAACACAAACAAAAAUUCAACAUGAACAGAGGUGCAAAGAGAAAAAAACAAACUUGCAAUAAACAUUAUAAAAAAACGCAACAAGAAAGAGCAUGAUGUUACCAAAAUGGAGCGGCAAAUUCCGACACGACGAUUUUAGUCUCUGGUGCGGAUUCUCUGGUUUUAUCAAGACCUUAAGUUGAACUUUUGGUGAUGUUUGGCCUAUGUGACUUGAAAAAUGAAGAAAAGAGGCUAGAAAACUUGGUUAUGAUGGUGAUUUUUGACAAGUUUGGAAGCAAGCAAAAUAAUCAAAGGCAUACUUGAAUUGCUUGAAGAUUAACUUAGUAAAAUAGGGCUUGAGAUAUUUGGCUUUCAACUUGUGUAACAAGAACAAAAAAUAUGUAACCAUUCUAAUGUACUAUGAGUUCUUAAUGUAAUGUUAAUGAUAAAAAAAUCAAUUUGAAUUUAAAAUGCAUGUUAA